AUCACUUCUUGGCCUUUUGGCUAAGAUCAAAUGUAGUAUUUGUUAUUAUCAGUUUAAUGUCCUCUAUCUGAGGACAACAUAGUGAAAGGAUUUUUGGAGCUUGGAGUUGUAAUAGAAACUUGCUCCAUCCACUCCAUACAUUGACCUGGUAUUGCAGUACCUCUAGGACUGUUGCACCCCUU
ensembl:snRNA U2 U2 spliceosomal RNA